rnacentral:rRNA from 1 species
AUUGAACGCUGGCGGCGUGCCUAACACAUGCAAGUCGAACGUGAAAGUUCCUUCGGGGGCGAGUAAAGUGGCGCACGGGUGAGUAACGCGUGGGUAAUCUACCAUAAAGUUGGGAAUAACGGCUGGAAACGGUCGCUAAUACCGAAUACGCUCUGGAAUUUAUCUUCUGGGGGAAAGGGGGCCUCUGCAUAUGCUCCUGCUUAAUGAUGAGCCCGCGUCCCAUUAGCUAGUUGGUAGGGUAAAGGCCUACCACGGCGACGAUGGGGCGCCGGUCUGGGAGGAUAACCGGCCACACUGGGACUGGAACACGGCCCAGACUCCGCCGGGAGGCAGCAGUGGGGAAUAGUGCGCAAUGGGCGAAAGCCUGACGCAGCGACGCCGCGUGAGGGAUGAAGGCCUUCGGGUCGUAAACCUCUGUCAGGGGGGAAGAACGGCACUCGUGCUAAUCAGCGAGUGAUUGACGGUACCCCCAAAGGAAGCACCGGCCAACUCCGUGCCAGCAGCCGCGGUAAUAC